CGCGGGGUGGAGCAGCCCGGUAGCUCGUCAGGCUCAUAACCUGAAGGUCACAGGUUCAAAUCCUGUCCCCGCAA
rfam:Sphingomonas sp. Root710 contig_6, whole genome shotgun sequence.